rnacentral:rRNA from 1 species
UGAGGAAUAUUGGUCAAUGGGGCGGGGAGCCUGAACCAGCCAAGUCGCGUGAGGGAAGACGGUCCUAUGGAUUGUAAACCUCUUUUGUCGGGGGAGCAAAGAGGCCACGUGUGGUCAAAAGCGAGAGUACCCGAAGAAAAAGCAUCGGCUAACUCCGUGCC